CCUACGGGUGGCAGCAGUGGAGAAUCUUGCACACUGGGGGAAACCCUGAUGCAGCGACGCCGCGUGAGUGAAGACGUAUUUCGGUAUGUAAAGCUCUAUCAGCAGGGAAGAAAAAAGACGGUACCUGACUAAGAAGCCCCGGCUAACUACGAGCCAGCAGGCGCAGUAAUACGUAGGGGGCAAGCGUUAUCCGGCUUUACUGGGUGUAACGGGAGCUGAGACGGCGCGGCAAGUCUGAAGUGAAAGGCAGGGGCUUAACCCCUGAACUGCUUUGGAAACUGCCAUGCUAGAGUGCUGGAGAGGUAAGUGGAAUUCCUAGGGUAGCGGUGAAAUGCGUAGAUAUUAGGAGGAACACCAGUGGCGAAGGCGGCUUACUGGACAGUAACUGACGUUGAGGCUCGAAAGCGUGGGGAGCAAACAGGAUUAGAUACCCUAGUAGUC
rnacentral:rRNA from 1 species